GCACAGGAGCACCAAACAAAAUGUCACUUUGAGAGAUACUGGAACAAGAAAGAUAAUAAUGCUGUAGAUGAAGGCCAUUACUUAUGCCACUAUGAAUGUGAAGAUGGACCUCUGGGAAUGACCCCCUACAACUCAGAAAGUUGGAAAGCAUGUUUUGAAAGCUGCUCUGUAGCAAGAGACAAUGCUGCUUUCAUGCUGCCCAUCAAGACAUUCUGUCCAUGCAAAUAAAGGUGCAGAUGAAGAUUGCAAGUCCUUGUACCCCAGAAGUGCUCGGAGAUCCAGAUGGAGCAGCCCCCAGAACCCGUGGCAUGGGAUUCAGUGUUUUGCCAGGCUGGGGACCACUGACAGCUUCUGACAGAAAGAGCAUGAUUGUCCUGAGUGACUGAGGUGCAGAGUCUGCCCUGGGACUGUAGAAGAGCUCUGAGAAACUGCUGUAAGAGAUGAAAGAGCUGAAAAAUUCCCAAAUGACACCUAAAUAAAAGGCUACAAGAGCAGAGGGGUGGGAAAGGAGGCUCCUCUGCUCAUGUUUGAGGCUAAAUGUUCAGCAUAUCAUCUUUGCAACAGCAGUGAAGUGAUGGGCAUCCGUUUCUCUGACCUCUUUCAAGACAGCAUUUUUCUUUCUGUGUCUGAAAUCAUUCCUGGUUCACCUUCUGAGGACCUUUCUAGUUCAAUCUACAAAACCUUUUGCAACUCACUGAUACUCAGUGAAAAGCCAUUUGGAAGGCAAUGAAUCAUGAAGUGGUCUGAUAAAUAGUUGGCAGAGGAAAGAUGCUCCAGUGCUUGGGAGAUUAGCCUGGGAUUUGGAUGAUCAUGUUGGCUUUUCUUUUUUAAUUUUUCUUUUUUUUUUUCCUCUACAGCAGCUUGGGCAUGUAAUUUAGCUUCACUUUGCAGCUCAUGAAAGUGUUGUGGGAAUGGCCUCUGAGGUGAUUGGUCAUCACAGCAGGAUGGUAUUAAAAGAAAGAUUGGAGCCUUCUCUAUUGUUUUUUUUUUCUUCUAACUUUUGGUUAAAUACACUGCCAAUUUCAGUUCCUUUCAUACCUCUAA